CUACCAUGGCUAUCAUGGGUAACGGAGAAUUAGGGUUCGAUUCCGGAGAGGGAGCCUGAGAAACGGCUACCACAUCUACGGAGGGCAGCAGGCGCGAAAAUUGCCCAAUCCUGAUUCAGGGAGGCAGUGACAAGAAAUAACAACUCUCAACAUUGUUGAGAAGUGUAAUGAGGAUAAUUUACAAACCUUACCGAAAGCAAUUGGAGGGCAAGUCUUGGGCCAGCAGCCGCGGUAAUUCCAGCUCCAAAAGCGUAUAUUAAAGUUGUUGCAGUUAAAAAGCUCGUAGUUGAAGUUCUGGCUGUAUUGGGCCUUUGCACUUGAUGCGAAGGAACCAGCAGUCAUCCGCUUGCAAAUACAAACCUUCCUUAACUGGUAGGCUGUAUAAGCAAGCACUUUACCUUGAGAAAAACAGAGUGUUCCAGACAGGUUUGUCCGGAAUGCGUUAGCAUGGAAUAAUAGAAUAUGACUGAAGUCGAUUUAUUGGUUUAAGGCUUUAGUAAUGAUUAAUAGGAACAAUCGGGGGCAUUGGUACUUGUCAGUCAGAGGUGAAAUUCUAGGAUUUGACAAAGACUAACUGAUGCGAAAGCGUUUGCCAAGAAUGUUUUCAUUAAUCAAGAACGAAAGUUAGGGGAUC
rnacentral:rRNA from 1 species